GAUUUCUGGCUUGCAACCUUGAGCCGGCCACGGUUUCGUGUGUUAGUGCUUGAGUUUCUGGCCAUCCUUCCAAUCGCUAUUCAUUCAUCUUCAUUGAUGGGUGAGUGGUAUUGGAUCUUUUACUUUGAAAAAAUUAGAGUGUUUCAAGCAGGCUUUAUGCUAUGAAUACAUUAGCAUGGAAUAAUAAUUUAGGACUUCGGUUCUAUUUUGUUGGUUUCUAGGACUGAAGUAAUGAUUGAUAGGGAUAGUUGGGGGUGCUAGUAUUCAGCGGCCAGAGGUGAAAUUCUCGGAUUCGCUGAAGACUAACUUAUGCGAAAGCAUU
rnacentral:rRNA from 1 species